rnacentral:rRNA from 1 species
UACGUAGGGUGCGAGCGUUGUCCGGAAUUAUUGGGCGUAAAGAGCUCGUAGGUGGUUUGUCGCGUUGUCCGUGAAAACUCACAACUCAAUUGUGGGCGUGCGGGCGAUACGGGCAGACUGGAGUACUGCAGGGGAGACUGGAAUUCCUGGUGUAGCGGUGGAAUGCGCAGAUAUCAGGAGGAACACCAAUGGCGAAGGCAGAUCUCUGGGCCGUAACUGACGCUGAGGAGCGAAAGCAUGGGGAGCGAACAGG